rnacentral:rRNA from 1 species
AUUGAACGCUGGCGGCAGGCUUAACACAUGCAAGUCGAGCGGAGAUGAGGUGCUUGCACCUUAUCUUAGCGGCGGACGGGUGAGUAAUGCUUAGGAAUCUGCCUAUUAGUGGGGGACAACAUUCCGAAAGGAAUGCUAAUACCGCAUACGUCCUACGGGAGAAAGCAGGGGACCUUCGGGCCUUGCGCUAAUAGAUGAGCCUAAGUCGGAUUAGCUAGUUGGUGGGGUAAAGGCCUACCAAGGCGACGAUCUGUAGCGGGUCUGAGGGGAUGAGCCGCCACACUGGGACUGAGGCACGGCCCAGACUCCUACGGGAGGUAGCAGUGGGGAAUAUUGGACAAUGGGCGGAAGCCUGAUCCAGCCAUGCCGCGUGUGUGAAGAAGGCCUUUUGGUUGUAAAGCACUUUAAGCGAGGAGGAGGCUACUAGUACUAAUACUACUGGAUAGUGGACGUUACUCGCAGAAUAAGCACCGGCUAACUCUGUGCCAGCAGCCGCAGUAAAAC